UGCCAGACUCCUACGGGAGGCAGCAGUGGGGAAUAUUGCACAGUGGGGGAAACCCUGAUGCAGCAACGCCGCGUGAGUGAAGAAGUCAUUCGUGAUGUAAAGCUCUAUCAGCAGGGAAGAAAAUGACGGUACCUGAGUAAGAAGCCCCGGCUAACUACGUGCCAGCAGCCGCGGUAAUACGUAGGGGGCAAGCGUUAUCCGGAUUUACUGGGUGUAAAGGGAGCGUAGACGGCAGCGCAAGUCUGGAGUGAAAUGCCGGGGCCCAACCCCGGAACUGCUUUGGAAACUGUGCAGCUCGAGUGCAGGAGAGGUAAGCGGAAUUCCUAGUGUAGCGGUGAAAUGCGUAGAUAUUAGGAGGAACACCAGUGGCGAAGGCGGCUUACUGGACUGUAACUGACGUUGAGGCUCGAAAGCGUGGGGAGCAAACAGGAUUAGAUACCCCAGUAG
rnacentral:rRNA from 1 species